UACGUAGGGUGCAAGCGUUAAUCGGAAUUACUGGGCGUAAAGCGUGCGCAGGCGGUUUUGUAAGUCUGACGUGAAAUCCCCGGGCUCAACCUGGGAAUUGCGUUGGAGACUGCAAGGCUGGAGUCUGGCAGAGGGGGGUGGAAUUCCCGGUGUAGCGGUGAAAUGCGUAGAGAUCGGGAGGAACAUCAGUGGCGAAGGCGGCCAUCUGGGACAACACUGACGCUGAAGCACGAAAGCGUGGGGAGCAAACAGG
rnacentral:rRNA from 1 species